CCCUUAGAUGUUCUGGGCCGCACGCGUGCUACACUGAGUAAAUCAAUGGGUAAGGGAACACGAAAGUGCAACCUAAUCUUGAAAUUUGCUCGUGAUGGGGAUCGACGGUUGCAAUUUUCCGUCGUGAACGAGGAAUACCUUGUAGGCGCGUGUCAUCAUCACGCGCCGAAUACGUCCCUGCCCUUUGUACACACCGCCCGUCGCUCCUACCGAUUGAAUGUUCCGGUGAGCUCUUCGGACUGCGCGGUCUGCAGUUUCUGCGUUCCGUGCGGAAAGUUGCGCAAACCUUAACAUUUAGAGGAAGGAGAAGUCGUAACA
rnacentral:rRNA from 1 species